rnacentral:lncRNA from 1 species
UAGAGCUUGAAUUUUUUUUAGAAUUUUAAUGAUUUGUCUCCUUAAGAACCACAAAAUGAAGGAGUACAAAGAACAGCAACAAGGUUGAAGAAUAAGCACCUCAAAUAACUUUUUAGAUUUUCUCUGUAAAAUUAUAAUAAGCAUCAAGUCACUUUUCUUCCUUUUACAUUUACACCAGAUCUUGUUUUUCUGCUAAUAGAUUUUCUCAACAUAAUACAAGCUAGCAUAAUCCCUACCCCAACUAGUUAGGGAUUAAAUGUGUCGAGUUGAGUGCAAACUACCAUAAUGAACAUAGCAUAAACACUUUCUUCUGCUUUGAUAUUCCUAUUGUUCUUAUAAUAUAUGAAGUUAUAAACUAUGCGUCGAGCCUAUCAAUAUGUUCACAUGGUUUGGUUCUAUUGGGAUUACCUAACUCCUGUUUAAUUAGGUAAGCUGGUUGUUUAGAGCCUUAGAGGAUAAGCAUGUCUCCAGUGGAAAAAUCUAUUUUUCAGGUAUCUCUUUAUCUGUAUAGAUUCUCUAUUCAGACUCUCUCUCUCUGUUCUCCCUAUUUUAUUAAGAACACUAUCUUCUUAACAAAGAAUUACGUGGGGCCAUGUCCUGUGAGUCGGUGAAUGUACAAAAAAAAGAAAGUAAAAUCAAAAGGGUGCCACAAUCCAAUCUUUAACUAAAGUGUUUACUACCGAAUAUAAAAGAUAAUCAUUUUGCUAAAUAUCCAUGGAUUUGAGAUGAGAUCUUUGUACAGGUACUCUGUCCUGAACAACAUUCCAAGCUGGCUAACUGACUCCGUACAAUGAUAAUGUUAUGUUUUUUUUCCAUUUAAGGGUGAAUACGUUAGCUAGCCUUUAGCAGCUGGGACCUAUCCUGAAAUUGUGCCUUUUUAGCAAGGCGAGUUCUACCACAAUUUACUACUUAGUUCUCUCUCUGUUGGGUAUUUCUACUUAGUUCUUUUUAGCAGCUGGGACUUAUCCUGAAAUCUGGAAAUGUUGAAAACGAAAAUAAUUUUAAUCUUAAUGAUGCAUUUGCGGUAGUGUGAAAUUCACUGAAGGGUAGCCAGCUAAUUAAUAAAAUUCAUGACAGUUAGUAUAUGAGAAGAGUAUGUUUAAUAGUUUGCUUGACUGAAGUCUCUUUACACUUGAUUCUAAAAUCAAACAUUAUUAUCAGUGAUUGACAAUUGACAGCAAUGUUGAAAGAAAGAUAAACCAUGCAAUUCGGAACUUUAUUGCAAGCUAGUAACUAAUCGGCUAAUCAUACUUUCUGAAAGUUGCAAAUACCAUGUUAACAAAGGAGUCGCAACUAAAUGAUUUAAUUAUAUGGGAAAUAGCUGCCAACUUUAUGGAAGGAGUCGAGGCUCAAAACAUAUUGAGGAAAAAAAACUGUAGAACCAUAUUAAAAAGAAAAUCUUUAUGAUUUCAUUUUCUUGGUUGUUAGCUGUUAUUUCAGUAGUAUGUUGGAGCCAGAAACAUGCCUUGUGGCAAUAGCUUAG